UGUAUGUAGAUCAGACAACAGGAGAGAGAGAGAGGUAGUCUGUAUGUAGAUCAGACAACAGGAAAGAGAGAGGUAGUCUGUAUGUAGAUCAGACAACAGGAGAGAGAGAGAGGUAGUCUGUAUGUAGAUCAGACAACAGGAGAGAGAGGUAGUCUGUAUGUAGAUCAGACAACAGGAGAGAGAGAGGUAGUCUGUAUGUAGAUCAGACAACAGGAGAGAGAGAGAGGUAGUCUGUAUGUAGAUCAGACAACAGGAGAGAGAGAGGUAGUCUGUAUGUAGAUCAGACAACAGGAGAGAGAGAGAGGUAGUCUGUAUGUAGAUCAGACAACAGGAGAGAGAGAGAGGUAGUCUGUAUGUAGAUCAGACAACAGGAGAGAGAGAGGUAGUCUGUAUGUAGAUCAGACAACAGGAGAGAGAGAGGUAGUCUGUAUGUAGAUCAGACAACAGGAGAGAGAGAGAGGUAGUCUGUAUGUAGAUCAGACAACAGGAGAGAGAGAGGUAGUCUGUAUGUAGAUCAGACAACAGGAGAGAGAGAGAGGUAGUCUAUGUAGAUCAGACAACAGGAGAGAGAGAGAGGUAGUCUGUAUGUAGAUCAGACAACAGGAGAGAGAGAGAGAGAGGUAGUCUGUAUGUAGAUCAGACAACAGGAGAGAGAGAGAGAGAGGUAGUCUGUAUGUAGAUCAGACAACAGGAGAGAGAGAGGUAGUCUGUAUGUAGAUCAGACAACAGGAGAGAGAGAGAGAGAGGUAGUCUGUAUGUAGAUCAGACAACAGGAGAGAGAGAGGUAGUCUGUAUGUAGAUCAGACAACAGGAGAGAGAGAGAGGUAGUCUGUAUGUAGAUCAGACAACAGGAGAGAGAGAGAGGUAGUCUGUAUGUAGAUCAGACAACAGGAGAGAGAGAGGUAGUCUGUAUGUAGAUCAGACAACAGGAGAGAGAGAGAGGUAGUCUGUAUGUAGAUCAGACAACAGGAGAGAGAGAGAGGUAGUCUGUAUGUAGAUCAGACAACAGGAGAGAGAGAGGUAGUCUGUAUGUAGAUCAGACAACAGGAGAGAGAGAGAGGUAGUCUGUAUGUAGAUCAGACAACAGGAGAGAGAGAGAGGUAGUCUGUAUGUAGAUCAGACAACAGGAGAGAGAGAGAGGUAGUCUUUAUGUAGAUCAGACAACAGGAGAGAGAGAGAGAGGUAGUCUGUAUGUAGAUCAGACAACAGGAGAGAGAGAGGUAGUCUGUAUGUAGAUCAGACAACAGGAAAGAGAGAGGUAGUCUGUAUGUAGAUCAGACAACAGGAGAGAGAGAGAGGUAGUCUGUAUGUAGAUCAGACAACAGGAGAGA